AAGUCAGUUGCUGUCGAAGGAUCAAGUGGAUCUGAGCGUUCCCUGCAGCCUUGUAACUUCUUGUCGGGGACGAUUAGGGUUGCUGUCAGGUUCACAGAUGGUGAGAGAAUAACACCCAAGGACAGACACUGCAAACGAAGAGUAACUACUUCAUCGGUGACUAGUUAUGGUACAAGCCUUCAAUGUAUUUGUUGAGAAUAUUUUUAGUGCUUCAUGUUGCAUCGAUGGCAUUGGCUAUGCCACCGCCGAUGCCAGUGAGGCGUGUACUCAGGGGUAUAAAUAACGCAAGGCAACGGCUCCUGGGUAACAACAUUGACCGUGUGGGCUGGACAAGAGAGACAAGCUUUAUACCUCGGCCGCGCCCCUGUCAUGGUAUUUGCAAGAUACUCGCCAGCAGCGGCGACUGCAUCGACAACGUGGCUUGUAUCAUGUACAUGGCUUCUCGCAUGUCGCCGUACAUGGCAGAAUCCGUCCGCAGCGGCGGCUGCUUCACCGACGUGGCUUGUUCCUCGUACAUGGCUUCCCACAUGUCGCCGUCCAUGGCAGAAUCCGUCCGCAGCGGCGACUGCUUCAACGACGUGGCUUGUCUCUUGGUCUUGGAGUCUCACAUGUCGCAGUUCAUGCAAAGAAUUCGAUGGCAGCGGCGACUGCAUCGCCGACGUGGCUUGCCGCCGGCGUAGAUUCGUGAGUUUAUGUGACGUUCUGCCACAUUUAUGUGACAGGUAAUAAUUGACCAUCAGACAGUGGCAUAUUCAUUAUACAUAAAAUAUGGCGUUUACAUCGCCAGAAUUGCAUUAGUGAAAUAUUGAUAUGAAAACCAUUGUAUGUGUCAUGCUACAACCUGCUGCUUCAACUCUAUUCUUUCAGAAAUCAGUCAUAAUGGUUAACUAUUAAUUAUUAACUAUGGCUGGGUUAUUGACUCCUGAUGCACAGUUUUCGGUGAGCUUAAGCAAGAAGAAAGAAGGCAUGUAAAUUGACAGAAGGAUCUCAAAAUGUUCGACAAUGAGAGCGAAUAUUCUGACAAUAUUCUAAAAAUCUAAGUUCAUUUAUUGGGCUCAAAAAACUCCACAACUAAAUAAAUUUAAAAGAGUGUCUCUGGUACAUAAAAUUAUGUUUACAGUAAGUUUAUAUUAUAUGUAUAAUGAAAUUUCACCGAGGAUUCAUAAAAUUAGGCUCUAAACGAUUUUUUUUUAUUUCUCGCACUUAUGAACAAUGUUCUCGUGGUACUCGAUAACAUCAGACUUUUUGUAUCUCUACCCAUUUCUCGAAAUAUUUGUAUUAUCAUUUAAUUAUUACAACAUCACUUAGACUCAAGAGAUCAUAAUGAACUUCAGUAAAGGCUUGAUGCAAUUA